rnacentral:rRNA from 1 species
AUACGUAGGGGGCGAGCGUUGUCCGGAAUGAUUGGGCGUAAAGGGCGCGUAGGCGGCCCGGUAAGUCUGGAGUGAAAGUCCUGCUUUUAAGGUGGGAAUUGCUUUGGAUACUGUCGGGCUUGAGUGCAGGAGAGGUAAGUGGGAUUCCCAGUGUAGCGGUGAAAUGCGUAGAGAUUGGGAGGAACACCAGUGGCGAAGGCGACUUACUGGACUGUAACUGACGCUGAGGCGCGAAAGUGUGGGGAGCAAACAGGAUUAGAUACCCUGGUAGUCCACACUGUAAACGAUGAAUGCUAGGUGUAGGGGGUAUCGACCCCUUCUGUGCCGCAGUUAACACAAUGAGCAUUCCGCCUGGGGAGUACGACCGCAAGGUUGAAACUCAAAUGAAUUGACGGGG